GAAGUUCACAGAGAAGCGGUUUAACGUUGCAUUAUACUGCUUGUAUGCUUCUUGGAGAAUGACUAGAGUCACCUGCCCUCCUUGCUGUUUGUACCAGAACAAGAGCCACCCUCAUCAUCUUUUAUUGAUGCAGAUUGACAAAACCUGGAUCUGCCCACCACAUAUCUAUUUAUACAGAUGCUGAGAUCUGAGGUUUCUGUUAGACCCUCUCUGUUGCCUGUGUCACUGUGGCUCCCCCUGAGUGCACAGAAAUAUGUCGCAGCAUCCCCCAGCUGUGAGUCUGAGAUCUCCAGGCUGAAGGUCUUAGCUGCUUUCUGGAAGUUCACAGAGAAGCGGUUUAACGUUGCAUUAUACUGCUUGUAUGCUUCUUGACGAACGACGAGAGUCACCUGCCCUCCUUGCUGUUUGUACCAGAACAAGAGGAUUAGAGAUGCUGAGUCAGGUGGAUCAAUGGGAGCUUGAGGACAGCCUGGUGAACAAAGCUAGUU
ensembl:antisense